rnacentral:misc_RNA from 1 species
GCAAACUUGGUCAUUUAGAGGAAGUAAAAGUCGUAACAAGGUUUCCGUAGGUGAACCUGCGGAAGGAUCAUUAUUGUACAACCGAGGCCCAAGGGCUGUUGCUGACCUUGUUGAAGGUUGUGCACGCCUGAGGUGCUCUCAUCCCACAUCCACAUCACCUCUUGUGCAUCAUCGCGUGCAGUCCCCUUAUUCCAAGGGGGCUCACGUUUUUCAUACAAUACACCCUUUUGAUAUGGCUUAGAAUGUCUCUAUUAAUUGCGGUUAUGUGCAAUCAAUACAACUUUCAACAACGGAUCUCUUGGCUCUCGCAUCGAUGAAGAACGCAGC